rnacentral:misc_RNA from 1 species
UUGAGAUGUAGGUGGCCUCACGGCCGCCGUCUCUCCACCCUGUGUAUUUAUACCUUUGUUGCUUUGGCGGGCCGUUAAGGCUUUGGCCUGACCACCGGCUUCGGCUGGUGUGCGCCCGCCAGAGGACCCCAAACUCUGAAAUAGUGUCGUCUGAGUACUAUAUAAUAGUUA